UACGUAGGGUGCGAGCGUUGUCCGGAAUUAUUGGGCGUAAAGGGCUCGUAGGCGGUCUGUUACGUCGGGAGUGAAAACUCAGGGCUUAACCCUGAGCCUGCUUCCGAUACGGGCAGACUAGAGGUAUGCAGGGGAGAACGGAAUUCCUGGUGUAGCGGUGAAAUGCGCAGAUAUCAGGAGGAACACCGGUGGCGAAGGCGGUUCUCUGGGCAUUACCUGACGCUGAGACGCGAAAGCGUGGGGAGCGAACAGG
rnacentral:rRNA from 1 species